AACUAUCCACCUUACUUGUUAUUCUAAACAAAAUCACACAUCGUCUUCACGGGCGAUUGGAUCUGAGCUUGAGGCGGAGAUGGCGGAGGACGGAGGCAGAGGCCGCCGUCUCUGCCGGUCGACGACGGAGAAACGGCCGCAACCGAGGAGGACGGCCAUGGAGGGGAGGGUGCUGCCUCGAUCCGGAUGAGGGGAGCAGAUGCUGCGACCUCGAUGCGGAUGAGGAGAGCAGCAACCGCGCCCCUGUUCUUCGCGGCGCGGCGGCCUCGGCUAGGAGCUUUGCCCUCUUAUUCCCGCGCGGUGCAGCGGCGACCUCAGGACGAGUUCGAGGCACAGUGGUCGUUCCAGCACACGAUGCCGGGGGAGGCGGCGGUGCUUCAUUGCCUCAUCUGUUCUCCUUAUCUCAGGUCCGUCCGACGGCAGAUGCACACCCGACGUCGUCAUGGAGGCUCCGACCCCGAGGCACCCUCCCUGCUUCCUUCUGGUUGCAUCUCCCCCUGAUUCUAUUUUAUCCAUGCCUACACGAUGCACAACAGAACUCCUAGCAGGCUUGCAAUCUCACGCGUAAGGGAAGAUGUGUUCCUCUCUGGCUAGCACCUGCUCGAUCAAAUGCCUAGCCAUUUCAAUCGUUUAUUGUAGGAAAUAUAAGGUGCACCCAAAUAGGAGGCCAUUCUGUGUAGCCUAUUCUUUUCAGUUCUAGGAAUCCUAUGGUAGAGGGUGGUGUUAGUUCUAUAAAUAACUUUCAGACAUUUGUAGUUUUUUAGGUUGUAGCGUGACAACUUUGAUCAAAAUUUGUUUCAGUUGACUCUACAUUCCAUUCGUUGAUUUUGUGUUCUUAACUGAAAGCAGAGUUUGUCGAUGUAAGUGACUUGGAUUAGUAUUCUUCUCUUUGCUAUGCUAAUAUUCACCUUGCUUCAGUUGACCCCACUUUCCGUUCAUUGAUUUUGUGUUCUUAACGGAAAGCAGAGUUUGUUGGUGUAAGUGACUUGGAUCAGUAUUCUUCUUUUUGCAUAUGCUAAUAUUCACCUUUAACAACUGCUAAAGUAUCAUGGCAUUAUAUCAAACUCUGCUCUGCCCAAAUUUUCCAGGCCUGAAGAGAGGAAGUAGGCCGGCGGCAAGGAUCCCGUGACGAGCGCCUCCGUAGCGCAGAUACUUUGGAUCUAUGUGCUUUGGCCAAAUUGGUCGAGCCUGAGACUGAUUAGAAGACCUUUUCUGAUAUCCUUGAAUUAGCCGUGGAAGGCAGAGGAAGUAGAGAUAAAAAUGACAGAUGGGCCUGGAAGAUACACCAGAAACAGAAGAAAAAGUUCUCAAAAUUGCGAAAGAGCGAUAUAGAGGCCGGUGAUCAACUCUAAGCUCCACUUACAAGGCAUACAAAACAGAUGCAGCUAGAUUGGCUAAUCUGCCGGAAGAUUUACAACCGGAAGAGUGAAUGGAUGAUUGAGUACUUUGGCACUGAUUCAAAAUUUCAGGAACACAACCGAAAGAACACCGAUAACCGUAAGAAACAGAAGACAAAACACAGAAUUAGAUCAAAAUCUUACUCGCAACUAAGUUUUGAUAAGGUAUGAGUCUAAGUAAAUAUGUAUGCCUUGCUGCUAACUCUCAUACACACGAAGAAUGGAACAUGGUCUAACACAGAAUCCCAGGAUGUUUAAGUGAGUACACUGACUUUUGGUUAUUCUAUAGUUAUUCAAUGAUGUGCAUUCGGCAUGCUUUUGCAUCAGCUGGGAUUAUUCAUGUGUUGGAUCGUGUUAUUCUUGUUUCAUCUUUUAUAGUGUAAAUAUUGAUGCGGCACCUAUAAUUGUUCUUUCCGUUUUGAGGACAAAACACGUAAUAGGUUGAAAACAAAGAAACUGAAACUCAUGGUCCACUUUCAAGUGAGCAUGUCAUUGGCCUUCAUAAUUUGCUAGCUGCUUCUUCUCUUUCACCAUGCGUGGGUGCUGCAUUGAGUCACAACUUAAAAAAAUGAAUAUGUGCUAGCUAGGGACAUGAACUUAACUGAAACUAUAGAUCGAGUCACAACUUAAAUCAAUAGCGGAAGCUUUUAGUACAUGUACUUGUGCAUAAACUUUAGACAUUUACACUUGUAAAACUGUUCUUACCCCUCAGUUACAUGCUUGCUGACACAGUAUUACUCCUCCGGUAGUCUGGCAACAAUUCGUUUUAACAAUGGGUCUGGAAUAAUUGUAUGGCAUAUGUUAUGUUGCACUCAUUAACUAGAACUAUAUAUUUUUGAUUUCUUGA